UAGCAUCAGUUGGAGUGUGGUUCUGCUUACGGUGCUUCUGCACUUACAUCCCGCCAGUGCCAUUUCCUCUGCCUUCAAGCAGGGCAAUAACUCAGAGCCUUGGCACAUACCAGCACUCAGUGAGGUCCUCAACAGGAUGGGGAACUCAAUGCAUGCCCCACAAUGGGCAUAAAAAUGGAAGAAAAACAGCAUUGCCUUCAGUCUGCAAAGCAUAUACCCAGCAGAAAGCCGUCUGGGAACUGCCUUCCCACGGGGAAGCACCCAAAUCCUUACCCUUUUAGCUCUGAAGGGGCUGUAUCUGCUCUACAGAGACAGUUUUUGAUGGGCUUUUAGUAAAUAAGUGGGGUCCCCCCUAGCCAGCCUGUUCCCCCUUCCUCUUAUGGUGGGAGCUGGCACCCACCGCAAGAGCUGCAGCGACUGGAGCAGGCAGAUAGGCACAACGCCAAGUCAAGAUGCCUUUUGGUUGACCUAGGAAGAGUAAAAAUGUUGAGUAUGGAAAAAAAAAAGACCUACUUGGAGGAAGUUAUGAAAAUCACAUAAAUAAGUCUGUGAACUUGGCCACUGUACAGCGGCGGUGCUGGAAAUAGCUGCAAAAACCAGGCUGAGUCAUGGUGAGCAAAGCUUUAGAGAGCUGUGGCUUCUGCUGAAGCGUGAGGAGCAGGGUGAGAGGAGGAAGGUGAUGCCACAGCUCAUGGCGAGGGCUCGUUCUGUCUUGGGGAAGUCGCCUCCUUUAGCAUCUCGCACGUUUGAAGGUCAUCUUGCAGUUCUUGGCUUGGUAUUACAAGGGCUCAAAAGGUGUUUGCUUGAGCUUGGAAAAGAAAAACCAUAAACAAAUGAAACACAGUCUCCACAGGAAAUUUUGACAUAAGUUCUGUGACUCAACCUAUUGAUUAGCAGUAUUAUUUCUUGAUACAUGGUUUGUAGCCAGAAGAGGCGUGGGAUGAAGCCAGAGCUGGGAAACCUCCCCAUUGGAAGCAGGGAUGUGGAUGCUCCUGGAGCAGCAGUUGAUGGGCUGCACACCCGGCAGCUCUGGGCAAUGGCCAUUGGGAAGCUCUCACCAUGCAGCGGCUGUUGGGUGUCUGUUGUGACAAGAGGACAACACAGGGAAAAGUGGAAGAAAGUCGUUUGAGUUAGUCCUGAUCCUGCACCCAGGCUCUCAGCCAUGUGCUUUGCAACCGGAAAAGACUAAGAUCUUAAUUCUGGCAUUUCUCAUGCGUUCUGCAGCCAGAACACGGCCCGUGCCUGCUCUGCGUGGGAGCUUUGGGAAUGCUGGUGUGCUGGCUGUGUGGUUUUAGGUCACUUCCAGAGAAGCGGAUUCAUUCGGAUGGAACCAGCCAGCUGGCUCAGCACGCAGCCAUGUUGUGAGGGAGUGAAGGACAGUUUCCACCUUACAUCACGUCGCUGUCGAAGGGCUUGACCUUGUUUGUGUCUGUUACUGCUGGAUUUAUCUUCACCGACAUUCAGACUCUGACCCUACGAAGGUCGUUAUCAGAUAUUUCUGGAUUUCAGUGGCCAAAUGACCAAAAACAGGAAUCCCAGCAAGGGCUUCCCCUGCCCAAUGCAAAAUAAAGACCAACCUCAGCUGAACUAACUCAUCCCACUUCAAUCCCUUUCUUCAGGAGGACUCUUCACCUUCUUGGAACCACCUGGUUCAUUAGAAAUUGGCUUUCGAAUGUAUCAGGAAUGUAGACCUCAAAUUCCCACAGGCACAUGUGGGCAUGGUGGAAUGAAUGUGUAUAUUGUAUCUCAACAAUCUAGUCUUCUGGGGUUGUCAGACUUAUUGAAGGAGGUUUGAAACA